rnacentral:rRNA from 1 species
UACGUAGGGGUGCGAGCGUUGUCCGGAAUUAUUGGGCGUAAAGAGCUCGUAGGCGGUCUGUCGCGUCUGCUGUGAAAACCCGAGGCUCAACCUCGGGCCUGCAGUGGGUACGGGCAGACUAGAGUGCGGUAGGGGAGAAUGGAAUUCCUGGUGUAGCGGUGGAAUGCGCAGAUAUCAGGAGGAACACCGGUGGCGAAGGCGGUUCUCUGGGCCUUACCUGACGCUGAGGAGCGAAAGCGUGGGGAGCGAACAGG